rnacentral:lncRNA from 1 species
UAGAGGCGGUGUCUCGCUUUGUGGCCCCUUUUCAGAGAACUUUUGUUCACUAUACUGAGCUACAAUGAUAGUGGUUCUGCUCCCUGACAAAUACCGGGAUUCAGCUAAUCUCUGCAGCUUUGCCAGUCAGCUGAGCUAGGAUAGGAUUAACAUGCUCAUGUGUAAACUGAUGUGACCAACAAGGCCACAUGCUCCAGCAUGGAACUGAAGGAUAAUAGUUGCUUCUGCCUCAUAAGACUGAUGUGAGGAUAAAAUGAGAUGUGUAAAGUACUUUGCAGAUACAGUGCUUGAUAAAGUGCAGCUAUUAUUGUUGGAGGCAAGGCUGCUUACAGUCCGGGCCAAGUUUAUCUUCAGGCAAUUAUUAUUAUUAUUAUUUCUGAGACAGGGUCUCCCUCUGUUGCCCAGACUGGAGUGCAGUGGCACAAUCUCGGCACACUGCAACCUCUGCCUCCCAGGCUCAAGCAUUCUUGUUCCUCAGCCUCCUGAGUAGCUGGAAUUAUAGGCUUGAACCACCACGCCUGGCUAAUUUUUGUAUUUUUAGUUUUGCAAUGUUGGCCAGACUGGUCUUGAACUCCUGACCUCAAGCUCAAGUGAUAUGCCCUCUUUGGCCUCCCAAAGUGCUGGGAUUACAGGCAUGAGCCACCAUGCCCUGCCCAGACAAUUAUUUUGAAUCUUCUUUAACACCAAGACAAAUAGGGCAUAAAGCAUGACUUAAAAUUUUUUAACCUGGAAAUAUUUUAAAGUAGUUGUAACCCGCUAAGCUAUUAAAGACAAACAAACAACAACACAUGUGCAGAAAUUCCAUAAGCACCCAUAUAUUACCUGGCUUUGAGAAAUGUAAUUUACUUUUGUCCUUUCAGAUAAGCCAGCUGCAGAAUAUAUCCUGAGGUACCUGCUUUAUGGAAUUAUUCACACUAUUCACCAACAGGAAGAAUAAAGUCAAUCAAUUCAAGGAGUCUCAGAACAGGAGCACAUAGACACCAAACUUUGUGGGACAACAAAUAUAAUGAAGAGUAUGUUUGCGUCUUUCAAACAAGUGAGUGAACGAGG